rnacentral:rRNA from 1 species
UUCCCAUCCCGAACACGGCAGUUAAGCUUCUCAGCGCCAAUGGUAGUUAGGGGCUGUCCCCUUGUGAGAGUAGGACGUCGCUAGGC